UUGCAUUGUACACGAUUUGCAGAAUAAAAAUAACAUGAAGGACAUACAUUCAUAUUAUGGCUCAUAGAAGAAAUCUUAAAAUUGAGCCAAGUUUAUUGGGCUUAAGGCCUAGACCCAACGGUCCAGGCUCAGACCUGUCAAGACCUAUUUUCAUCUAGGCUUAUCUCCAGGCCUGGCCCAAUUGCCCACUAUACUUAUGAAAAGAAAAUAUGAUAACACCCAGAUACACUCUUCAUGCUGUUAUUUCAAAUAUCAGUAUAUGAAACUAAAACCUUAGAUUAUUACAGUCCUCAAAAAUAAAAUUUCUUAGAAUCAAUACAUUGCAGCCUAUUAAUACAUGAACACUAUGCUAAUAACUAAUCUAUUAUAAAUUUUGCAUAACUGAUAUCCUGAAGAAUAUGGCCUCUUUUGGACAUGGUUUGUCCAUUAGAAUUUAGUCCUUUCUUGUGUUUAAACAGCAGUAUCCAAAUGUCAGCUUUUGAACCUACUGAUUUGGCAAAUUAACGACCAAAUCUGCAGGUACUAAGCCCCAAAUUAGCUAGCAGCUUUACAACCAUUCUCAUGUUCAAACAACAACUAUAACACACAGAUUUUAGUACACUAUUAGCUAUAUAUAUCUAAAUUUAGGCCUUAACACAUGCUGAUUUAACCAAUCAAUGGCCAAAUCUACAAGUUAUGGCUUACUUAACUUUAAACCAGGCAAGCAUUAUACUAGAUCACUUAUAAGCAAGAAAGGCAUGAAUAACAGCCGAAAGAGCUAAGGUAAAGGAAAUCAACAGAGAUUUACAACUUAUGCAAAUCCAGAUUUCAACAUGUUAAGAAGACUACAUCAUAAAAAAAACACAAAUGCUCAUGUUAAUACACUUACAAUCAUAAUAGCUAAAGUCAAAAGAUUAAUCAAAUAAUAUCAAAAGAAUACUCAUUCAUUACACAUUUCUUUGCAAAUUUUGACAUUUUUAUAACUUAUGUACAAGGAAACUACAUAGGAGAUCUGAAGCAGUACCUUGAAGAGUGAGAAUCGGCAAAGAAAAUAUGGAGACAAAUAGCUGAGAAUCCAAAGAUGGAACAAUAGAAGGGAGCAGACAACAGCAGCAGUAAAAGACAACACAACAACCUCAGAUAAACCCAGAUUCCCAAACAGCAAAACCAUAGCAAUAUUGAAACCAGAAAUUCCAACCCAAACUCAAGAAAAACCUUCUACUUCAGGCCAUGUUUUCAGCAAAAUCCCAAAGAAAAGAGGUGUUUUGAAGGUUUUAUAAGUUUUCUGAAAUCUGAUCUCUUCAUAAGAGAACAAGGAGCUUUGGUGCAGUAAAAUGAUACUAAAAUUACUAAUGAUUGCUAAAUUUUGUGUAAACCUAGAAUCAGAGGACGUAAAGAAC
rnacentral:lncRNA from 1 species